rnacentral:rRNA from 1 species
GACGAACCCUGGCGGCGUGCCUAAUACAUGCAAGUAGAACGCUGAAGAGAGGAGCUUACUCUUCUUGGAUGAGUUGCGAACGGGUGAGUAACGCGUAGGUAACCUGCCUUGUAGCGGGGGAUAACUAUUGGAAACGAUAGCUAAUACCGCAUAACAAUGGAUGACACAUGUCAUUUAUUUGAAAGGGGCAAUUGCUCCACUACAAGAUGGACCUGCGUUGUAUUAGCUAGUAGGUGAGGUAAUGGCUCACCUAGGCGACGAUACAUAGCCGACCUGAGAGGGUGAUCGGCCACACUGGGACUGAGACACGGCCCAGACUCCUACGGGAGGCAGCAGUAGGGAAUCUUCGGCAAUGGGGGCAACCCUGACCGAGCAACGCCGCGUGAGUGAAGAAGGUUUUCGGAUCGUAAAGCUCUGUUGUAAGUCAAGAACGGGUGUGAGAGUGGAAAGUUCACACUGUGACGGUAGCUUACCAGAAAGGGACGGCUAACUACGUG